CUACCGCAUAUUCUGUGAGCAGGAAAGCAGGGGGACCCGCAAGGCCUUGCGCUCUUUGAGCGGCCGAUGUCAGAUUAGCUAGUUGGUGAGGUAACGGCUUACCAAGGCGACGAUCUGUAGCGGGUCUGAGAGGAUGAUCCGCCACACUGGAACUGAGACACGGUCCAGACUCCUACGGGAGGCAGCAGUGGGGAAUUUUGGACAAUGGGCGCAAGCCUGAUCCAGCCAUGCCGCGUGAGUGAAGAAGGCCUUCGGGUUGUAAAGCUCUUUCGGCCGGGAAGAAAUCGCAUGGGUUAAUACCCUGUGUGGAUGACGGUACCGGAAUAAGAAGCACCGGCUAACUACGUG
rnacentral:rRNA from 1 species